rnacentral:rRNA from 1 species
UACGGAGGGGGGCUAGCGUUGUUCGGAAUUACUGGGCGUAAAGCGCACGUAGGCGGCUUUGUAAGUUAGAGGUGAAAGCCCGGGGGCUCAACUCCGGAAUUGCCUUUUAAGACUGCAUCGCUAGAAUUGUGGAGAGGUAAGUGGAAUUCCGAGUGUAGAGGUGAAAUUCGUAGAUAUUCGGAAGAACACCAGUGGCGAAGGCGACUUACUGGACACAUAUUGACGCUGAGGUGCGAAAGCGUGGGGAGCAAACAGG